rnacentral:rRNA from 1 species
AUUGAACGCUGGCGGCAGGCCUAACACAUGCAAGUCGAACGAGUGGCGGACGGGUGAGUAAUGUCUGGGAAACUGCCUGAUGGAGGGGGAUAACUACUGGAAACGGUAGCUAAUACCGCAUACCAUCGGAUGUGCCCAGAUAGGAUUAGCUAGUAGGUGGGGUAAAGGCUAACCUAGGCGACGAUCCCUAGCUGGUAUGAGAGGAUGACCAGCAAGACUGGAACUGAGACAGGUUCCAGACUCCUACGGGAGGCAGCCGGGGGGAAAAGUGCAAAAUGGGCGCAAGUCUGAUGCAGCCAUGCCGCGUGCAUGACGAAGGCCAUCGGGUUGUAAAGGACGUGCAGCUCGGAGGAGUUACCCGCAGAAGAAGCACCGGCUAACUCCGUGCCAGCAGCCGCGGUAAUAC